ACAAACUUGGUCAUUUAGAGGAAGUAAAAGUCGUAACAAGGUCUCCGUUGGUGAACCAGCGGAGGGAUCAUUAACGAGUUUAUCAUAACUCCUAAACCCAUGUGAACUUACCUUCUGUUGCCUCGGCAGGCAGAUCCGCACCUCUUACCCUGUAGUACCUUACCCGGGACGAAACCUGCUAUUACGUAGUAAUAGAAUUCCAACUGGGAUAGGCCUACGCGGUAAUCAAGUGCGCUUCCGCCUGCCGGUGGACCAUGAAAUAAACUCUGUUUAAUAGCUGGUAUUCUGAUAAUUAUAUGGAAAUAAGUUAAAACUUUCAACAACGGAUCUCUUGGUUCUGGCAUCGAUGAAGAACGCAGC
rnacentral:misc_RNA from 1 species